rnacentral:lncRNA from 1 species
GGACGCCCCUGCACCGCGCGCGUGGACGACGACCGACGGCCGGGGACGUAGCGCCUGCUGCCCUCGGCCUCGCCGCGUCCACCGGGGAGGAGACGCGCCGCUGGGGGUCCCCGCGGCGGAGGCUGAUCGGGGGCGAGGGAGGAGGCGGCGAGUGGGCGAGGUGGUCGGUUGUGUUUGCCUGUGGGGAAGGCUUGGCUUGGCUUGGCG